AUUGAACGCUGGCGGAAUGCUUUACACAUGCAAGUCGAACGGCAGCACGGACUUCGGUCUGGUGGCGAGUGGCGAACGGGCGAGUAAUGUAUCGGAACGUGCCCAGUCGUGGGGGAUAACGUAGUGAAAAUUACGCUAAUACCGCAUACGAUCUAUGGGUGAAAGCGGGGGAUCGCAAGACCUCGCGCGAUUGGAGCGGCCGAUAUCAGAUUAGGUAGUUGGUGGGGUAAAGGCCCACCAAGCCAACGAUCUGUAGCUGGUCUGAGAGGACGACCAGCCACACUGGAACUGAGACACGGUCCAGACUCCUACGGGAGGCAGCAGUGGGGAAUUUUGGACAAUGGGCGAAAGCCCGAUCCAGCCAUUCCGCGUGCAGGAUGAAGGCCCUCGGGUUGUAAACUGCUUUUGUACAGAACGAAAAGGUUUCUACUAAUACUAGGAGCUCAUGACGGUACUGUAAGAAUAAGCACCGGCUAACUACGUGCCAGCCGCCGCCGUAA
rnacentral:rRNA from 1 species